CUGGCGGAAUGCUUUACACAUGCAAGUCGAGCGGCAGCGCGGGGGCAACCCUGGCGGCGAGCGGCGAACGGGUGAGUAACACAUCGGAACGUACCCUGUCGUGGGGGAUAACGAAUCGAAAGAUUCGCUAAUACCGCAUACGACCUGAGGGUGAAAGCGGGGGAUCGCAAGACCUCGCGCGAGAGGAGCGGCCGAUGUCGGAUUAGCUAGUUGGUGAGGUAAAGGCUCACCAAGGCGACGAUCCGUAGCGGGUCUGAGAGGACGGCCCGCCACACUGGGACUGAGACACGGCCCAGACUCCUACGGGAGGCAGCAGUGGGGAAUUUUGGACAAUGGGGGCAACCCUGAUCCAGCCAUUCCGCGUGAGUGAAGAAGGCCUUCGGGUUGUAAAGCUCUUUCGGCAGGAACGAAACGGUGGAGGCUAAUAUCUUUCAUCAAUGACGGUACCUGAAGAAGAAGCACCGGCUAACUACGUGCCAGCAGCCGCGGUAAUACGUAGGGUGCGAGCGUUAAUCGGAAUUACUGGGCGUAAAGCGUGCGCAGGCGGUUUUGUGAGACAGAUGUGAAAUCCCCGGGCUUAACCUGGGAACUGCGUUUGUGACUGCAAGACUUGAGUGCGGCAGAGGG
rnacentral:rRNA from 1 species